GGGCUUUUUUAUAUGAGCGCUGCCUUAACUCUUUACCAGUUCAUCCUGCUACCUUUGGUGGUAACCAAGACUGUGGAAAACAUGGACGACGCGAAAGCUCCCCAAAAAUGAAGCCAAAACGUCUCUAUUGCUCCCUGGUGUCUGGCUGCAGUAUAGGUCAUAAACCCCGCCUCCUCUAUGUUAGCGGAUGGGACUGGGGUCAGACUAAAAUAAAUUAAUUCUCCUCAGAUACAUUUUUUCCAAAGAUUCUUUCUUUUAUUUUCAAUAGUUCUCAUCACACUGAUUUAUGUCCAAGGGGUCUCCUUUCCUAUAAGUUUGAAUCUAAUUACUGUCACAGUGAUGCUAAACUGGGGUGAAACGCCAUCGUGACAGCUUUUACUGGCAGCUGCAGUCACGGAGAAACUUGCGCAGAGUGCAACUCAUUCUACGCUCUAUCUGGAAUAGCAUAGGCUCUGAGAGGACGGCCAGCGCUCAUGUUACAAAACGACAUCCGACUGUUUUAACCUGACAGCCUGAGGUGUUCUUCAGUAAACUGGACUACCCGACAGAAGGAGCUGAAGCCCCGCCGCACUUUUUCGGAGCUGCCCUCAGAUUCAGACUUCAGCACCAUGAAAACAUUACAAAGCCACCUCGGAUUCACCUUCUGCCAUCAUCAACUUCCAGUGCUAGUUCAGCUGGCUCUCACAUCGACAGUCAGUCACAACAAAGGAUCCAUACUCACCUUGCUUACCUGCCUGCCCUCCUGCACAUCGUGACUCUCCUAGACCCCCUUCAGAAAAACGACCUUGUCCUUUAACACUGCUUUUCCCACUCUUUAGAUUCCCACGGGUACCUUCCCCAAAGCAACUCACCCUUCUUAGUGUCUCCCCGUGAUUUGUCAUUCUCCAUCCACGAUCCUUCACAGCUGCCUGUGCUCUGCUGGCUUGUACCAAGUCAUGUUCUAGCUAAUGCCGUAUUCUCCCUAAUAAAAAUCUUGUAAAUAGUUAAUCAAGUGUAGAGUCUGCAUUGUCGGUUUAUGACUGUAUGAACUGACCAAAAUGGACCAGCAGACCCAAUUCAUCCUGCAAUUAAUAAGCAGGGUGCAGUUUGCAGGCGGCACGAAGAGACUCUACAAUCCCUAGAAGCUUGAUAGAAAGCAGUUAGUGACAAACAAGAACAAAUUGUCACCAAGCUCUCUGAACUCUGAAUUCUCCGUCUCUCAUCAGCCCUCCUGUUGCUCAUAGUUUCCCUGGGCCACCUCCUGUCGAUAUCUCCCUCCCUGUGUUUGAAUCAUUAUAUCAUGGUGUUACCUCCACGUCGCUUGAACCAUUCCACAGUUUAAACGUCUCUUUUUCCUACUGUCCAGGCUCCAGAAACAUCAAGCCCGACACUCUCUUGCAUCAAUACUCCUCUGAUUCGGAACCACUGGAACCAGCCACAAUCCUUCCCUCCACCUGAAGAGUGGGCUUCCUCAAGUGAGACAUUGAAGAGGUAAUCCGCCAGGCUCUCCAGGGUGAACCUGAACCUUGGUAUGGGCCCUCCUGAUUGGCGGUUCUUGCUCGGGCAGCAGUCAUCCACUGGGCUCACACCACACGGUUUGCCUGUCACCCAAUCAUGAGUAGAACUGCAACACUACUUAGACAUCAUUUUCGGUGGGAUUCAUUAAACAAGGAUGUGAAGAAUUAUGUGGCAACCUGCCUUAUCUGUUCCCGUAAUCAAACUUCCACUCAGCACCAGUGUUGGGCAAGUUACUUUGAAAAAGUAAUUAACCCUUUAAGACCGGUCGGAGCGGGCACGCUCCGUUUUGUGUAACUAUUUUUAAAUCCCUGUAGAACCGGAACCACAUAAGCUAGCGCAAUAAUUUUUUUUGCAUAUGAAACCAGAGGAGUUGUACUUAUAUCUUAUCCCAUCGGCUUGCCCUAGGUCACGGUUUCUUUCCACAAAUAGCUUUGCAAAACACGGAAACACGCUUUGCCGAUCCGAUCAGCUGUUCAAAA